UUUUGUCAAAUCAUCAUGGAUAAAUAUAGCAUUCGUAGACCACAACUUGGCGAAUUGGGCCUGUACUCGUGAAAAAUUCAACCGACUCAGGAACUGAAGGUAAACGACCAUAGGCAAUGACGUGUAACCGCUAAAUGGGCUCUGGAGCAGUAGACAGCUGACCCUAACUUUCAUUGAAAAAUCUUCAAUUCUGGAUCAAUCUUCAAUUCUGGAUCAAUGGGUUGACCUCAUGCAGUUUCUACUAGAUAUUCCAUCUAAUACAAUGUCAACCUCUGGUAGAAGUCCAUUAAAUCUCAAAGUGGAGUGCAGUAGAUUUGCAAAGAAUAAAAACUCAAAGUCG